rnacentral:lncRNA from 1 species
UUAGUCCCAUCAUACUAAGAGAAUACUGGAGGUGGAAUCAGGAGAAGACAAAGUUGAAUGGUUCAAGUGCAUCGUAAAUCAGGAGGGAUAUGAAGUUUCAGUCCUAUAUUAGGAUGCAACCAGUAUAUCACUCCUAAAUAUUUCAUCCAUAUAUUAGGAUAGAUAUGUUUCUGCAAUCCUAAUAUACUAUGCGUUUACUAUUGCAAUCCUAAAUAAAGUUUACGUAUAUAACAUUGUUUACAUGUGCUCUUACUGAGAUAGAUUUACAGCAUUAGACUAGUGUAGUUCUAACAAUUGGUAUCAGAGCCAUCUAUGCUUAGAUGAGUUACAUGUUAUUGCUACUUCAACAAAUUUAUUUUGAAACGAUUUCUGGGAAUUUUGUUGUAAUCCGCAUACAGUUAUCUACAUAUAUAAUUCAUGUCUGAUAAAUAGUGAUUGAUGUAUAUGCUUGUUUCAAGUUAUGAUAUUUGAUUCAUUGAGAAAUUCAUCAUGUUGUGUGCUGCCAAAGUGGUCCCAUGAAUGAACAUUCCAAAGGAUCUAAUAUGCUGAUGAAAUAUCUAGUAUGAAUUCAAUUAUAUGUUGCAUAAUAAAGUGCUGUCAAAAUGGCCAAUAUAUAGCAAUUACAUUGUAUUCAGUUUCAUCAGAAUGAGAUUAUGAGACUUAAAAUUAAAUUUGAGUAUGAUUU